UCCUGACGGUAGUCGUAUGCUCGUCUCCGAGACUAAGCCAUGCAAGUCCAAGUACACGUCCUUGAACGACGGAAACUGCGAACGGCUCAUUAAAUCAGUUGCGAUCUACUCGGCGUUCCGCGCCGCCGGAUAACCGUAGUAAUUCUAGGGCUAAUACGUGCGAAGCGCCCGAAGCCGCGAGGCGACGGGCGUUCUCGCCGGAUGUAGGAACCGACCCGGGGACCGCCGGGGCAACCCGGCGCCCCCGAGACGGGGCGAACCACGGUGAAAUGACGGAUCGUCGGCCCCGCGCCGGCGACUCGCCGAAUGAGUUUCUGACCUAUCAACUCGAGACGGCGGGGUAGAGGCCCGCCGCGGUAACGACGGGUAACGGGGAAUCAGGGUUCGAUUCCGGAGAGGGGAGCCCCGAGAAACGGCUACCACUUCCAAGGAAGGCAGCAGGCG
rnacentral:rRNA from 1 species